AAAAAAAUUAUCUAGUGUAAGCUGGCAUAUUAUAUUUACCUUCAUCAGAAAUUCCAAAGGAAUAAGAAAAGCACUAGAUAAAUGGAUUUAUUCAAGGAAAUAAACCAUCCGCAAUUUAAGGAGCUGUGGCAGCUAUUAUCAAUUUUCAUGUCCUCCCAACAAAAGCAUCGUGCUUGAUCAAAUAAGGUUUAAUAUGGCAAGACAACAAUGCAAUAAAAAAGCAACCUCACAAAUAAACCUUAGAAACUUCGACAAAGAUCAUCCGAGGGAACGAACCCACUUUAAAGAGAACGGCAGCAGGAGAGGGCAGCGGUGCGGUGAUCCGCUGGAUCAGGUUAGUUGCCACUAGCCAAUAUUAUCAUUUUUCAGACUUUUUUCCGCAGCUACCGGUCUCCGUAUUGGAAUUGGAGAUACGCGCGUGCGAGGCCCCACGCAGAAACGACUCAGGUAAUGCGGAAGGGUCCGUACAACGGGG
rnacentral:lncRNA from 1 species